CAGUCGAACGAAGCUUGACGGAUGAUUUCUUCGGAAUGAAACCAGAUAUGACUUUGUGGCGGACGGGUGAGUAACACGUGAGCAACCUGCCUUUCAGAGGGGGAUAACGGCUGGAAACGGUCGCUAAUACCGCAUGACGUGUUCGGAUGGCAUCAUCUGAACAUCAAAGAUUUAUCGCUGAAAGAUGGGCUCGCGUCUGAUUAGAUAGUUGGUGGGGUAACGGCCUACCAAGUCUACGAUCAGUAGCCGGACUGAGAGGUUGAACGGCCACAUUGGGACUGAGAUACGGCCCAGACUCCUACGGGAGGCAGCAGUGGGGAAUAUUGCACAAUGGGGGAAACCCUGAUGCAGCAACGCCGCGUGAAGGAUGACGGUUUUCGGAUUGUAAACUUCUUUUCUUAGUGACGAAGACAGUGACGGUAGCUAAGGAGUAAGCAUCGGCUAACUACGUGCCAGCAGCCGCGGUAAUACGUAGGAUGCAAGCGUUAUCCGGAUUUACUGGGUGUAAAGGGAGCGCAGGCGGGACUGCAAGUUGGAUGUGAAAUACCGUGGCUUAACCACGGAACUGCAUCCAAAACUGUAGUUCUUGAGUGAAGUAGAGGCAAGCGGAAUUCCGAGUGUAGCGGUGAAAUGCGUAGAUAUUCGGAGGAACACCAGUAGCGAAGGCGGCUUGCUGGGCUUUAACUGACGCUGAGGCUCGAAAGUGUGGGGAGCAAACAGGAUUAGAUACCCUGGUAGUCCACACUGUAAACGAUGAUAGCUAGGUGUGGGGGGUCUGACCCCUUCCGUGCCGGAGUUAACGCAAUAAGCUAUCCACCUGGGGAGUACGA
rnacentral:rRNA from 1 species